rnacentral:rRNA from 1 species
GCUUUAUUCUAAAUAUAAACUUAUUAUAUUAAAAUUUGGUUGGGGCGACCUAGGAACACUUAACAUCCUAAUAUACUUAAGACCUAUCAGUCUUCUAUAGAUCCAUUUAAUGAUCAAUAAAUUAAGU